UUUUGCCCCUCUAACAUGAUGUCUGGGAAGUCAUGCUCUUUCUCCGUUCAUUUAUUGGAUAUCUUUUGGUGGUGGAGAAGGAAAACUGGUUGUUAUUUCUCUUUCAAAAUUUUAUUUAGUGGUUAGGAAAGGAAAUGGAUAUAUGAUGUUCGAGAGCCUGUAGUUCAGAUUGUAAAGCGACAGCCUGUAGUUCAGAUUGUAAAAUAUGUCAUACCACUAGUUUGGAUCAACCCAAUGCAUCCCGUCAGAAGCCUUGUCUUAACGUUAGAGGUAUCUUCCUUAACUGGGAAGUUAUACAUCUCUACUUUGCUGUGAAUUCCUUCAACACCACUUCAAACAUUUUUGUUUUCUAUUGAACAACCAUAUGCAAGUUGAUUAUUUUCACUUUUACCUUUCCUUCGCCAGCAAACCAGGGAUAAAUUUAACGUUGGUGUUGUUUUUGG
rnacentral:lncRNA from 1 species